AGAGUUUGAUCCUGGCUCAGGAUGAACGCUGGCGGCGUGCUUAACACAUGCAAGUCGAACGGGAUCCAAGAGCGCUUGCGUUUUUGGUGAGAGUGGCGAACGGGUGAGUAACACGUGAGUAACCUGUCCUUUUCUUUGGGAUAAGCAUCCGAAAGGGUGUUUAAUACCUUAUGUUCUGUCUGCCUCGCAUGGGGUGGGUGGGAAAGAUUUUUCGGUAAAGGGUGGGCUCGCGGUCUAUCAGCUUGUUGGUGGGGUGAUGGCCUACCAAGGCUUUGACGGGUAGCCGGCCUGAGAGGGUGGUCGGUCACAUUGGGACUGAGAUACGGCCCAGACUCCUGCGGGAGGCAGCAGUGGGGGAUAUUGCACAAUGGGCGAAAGCCUGAUGCAGCGACGCCGCGUGGGGGAUGAAGGCCUUCGGGUUGUAAACUUCUUUUGCUCUGAACAAGGUGCACCGUGGGGUGUGUUGAGUGUAGGGGUUGAUUAGCGCCGGCUAACUACGUGCCAGCAGCCGCGGUAAUACGUAGGGCGCGAGCGUUGUCCGGAAUUAUUGGGCGUAAAGGGCUUGUAGGUGGCUGGUUGCGUCUGUCGUGAAAGCUCAUGGCUUAACUGUGGGUUUGCGGUGGGUACGGGCUGGCUUGAGUGCAGUAGGGGAGGCUGGAAUUCCUGGUGUAGCGGUGGAAUGCGCAGAUAUCAGGAGGAAUACCGGUGGCGAAGGCGGGUCUCUGGGCUGUUACUGACACUGAGGAGCGAAAGCAUGGGGAGCGAACAGGAUUAGAUACCCUGGUAGUCCAUGCUGUAAACGGUGGGAACUGGGUGUGGGGGGCUUUUUUGUCUUCUGCGUCGUAGCUAACGCGUUAAGUUCCCCGCCUGGGGAGUACGGUCGCAAGGCUAAAACUCAAAGGAAUUGACGGGGGCCCGCACAAGCGGCGGAGCAUGC
rnacentral:rRNA from 1 species